GGGAUUGUGGCUCAGUGGUAAAGUGCUUGCCUAGCAUGUAUGAGGCACUGGGUUCGACCCUCAGCAUCACA
rnacentral:tRNA from 1 species